UUUUCACUCUAAACAUUCAGCAGUGUUUUCUUUUACUGUUCUGAAUUUUCUGCACAAUGUUAUUAUCUGUGCAUUUGUUAUGUUUUCAUUAGGCCGAUCCAGUCGGACAUCAACAGUCAAGACUCCACCAGAAAUCAUGGAGACAAUCAGAAUGAAACCCAUGAAUACAAAUCUCUUCACCCUGGUGAAUAUGAACUCUAUGAAACAGCCCAUCACUCAGAAGACACUGCAAAUGGUGAUCAUCACAUCUAUGAAACAAUCCACGACUUGGAAGAUACUGCAAAAGAGGAAGAUGAAUCACCUGAAGCCACAUACUCUCUUAUAGAGGUUAAAGACUUUGGGAUGGAGACAGGGAAGCAUCAUAAACCACAUAAGAGUAUUAUUUACACUGAUGUGAAUACGGGAACUGCAGGUCAGUGAAGAGAGCAACAGCAGCAAAGCCAAAGAGAAGCAUAAUGUAAUCAUACUAUAAUGAUCAAAGCAUAUGCAUGCCAUAUGUCUUCCUUACAUCCUCUGAGUGAGACAAUCUUGAUAAAACCUUCCAUAAGCACUGCAUAGGGCACUGUGAGUGGCCCAUGCAAUGCAUAAAUAAUUUACAAAAGUCUCAGAAUCAUAUAGAAUUAUGUAUUUGACAGUUCAACUGAGCAAUAAUGGAAUAUCAGAUUAGAGUGGCGUGUCUGAUUUAAUGUAUUUUAGCAUCAUAUUAUAGCAUAUAUCAUAGCAUCUUGUAUAUCCUAGUAUAUAAAUAUUUCUAGUCCCUAUCUCCAGUGCAGGGUACACAGAUUAGCUAGUAUGUAAUAAUAUAGACCCAAUACUCUGUUUUUACACAAGGGCAACAAUACAUUUUUGUGCAGUAUAAUGUAUUAUACAUUAUGUUAACAUAAAUAAAUAGUGUGACUGAUACUGUAUGGAGUUGAAUUUUGUCC